AUCACUUCAAGUUAUCUGAAAGUCAUUUGAGGUAAACCAAUAAAAAUGGUUUUACAUUUGAAAUAGUCAACAUUGACAUACUUGUAAUUGCCCAUGAUUCAGGGUAUUUAUAAAUAAUGGUUCUUAUUAUGCAAUACAAUUGAGAUGGCCAAAAGUAAAGCCAUUUCAUCAUAAGUGACAUAAAUUUCAACCAGUCUUUGCAAAAAAAUCUUAUAUUUUUAACAGGGAUUUCAAAGUUCAUCAUUCCCAAUCUAAAUAUUUUCUGUUCUCUGAGAGCAUUUCCGUAUACAGUCCUUUAUUGCUCUUUUGCUUCUUCAUUUGUUCAACAAAUAUUCAUUGAGGGCCUACUGUAUGUAAUGUUGUGGGGCUAGAUUAGAUAAAGCCCUUGUUCACAUGAAGUUUAUAUUCUAUUUUGAGAGAUAGAACAAGGAGACAGCCAGCCAGCCAACCAUCUGAUGUCAGCUUUGUACUAAGAAUAACAAGCCUGGAUAGAAACAGAGCUAUGGGAGAGGUGGUAUUGUCUCAGAUAAUGUGGUCAGAGAAGAUUUCUCUGAGGGAAUGAGCAAUGUCUUAAAUGAGAAUAGCUGGGAAGGUGUGUUCCUGUCAGAGGGAACCCUAAGUCCAAAUCUCUACAUGUGGGAACAUACUAAAUACUCUGGGUAUAGCCAGGAGGCUGCACAGGCUAAGAAAGCAAGUGCCAUCAGAGAGUUGAAGAGGUGGUGAGCGUUGUUCACAUACAGGUCAUGUUUUGAAGAUUAUAGCCAAUAGGUCAUGUUUUGAAGAUUACAGCCAAUAGGAUAUGCUGUUAGAUUAAAUUCAUUGUAUGAGAGAAAGAAUAGUCUAGGACAAUUCCACUUUUCAGCCUAAGUGCAUGGUUGAAUUUGGGAACCAUUCACUGAGAAGCAGAAGAUGGAAGAAGGGGUUGGAUGACAGGGCUUGAACGAGUUCAGUUAUGACGUGUUAAAGUGAGAUACCUAUUAGAUACUGAGCAGGAGAGGUUGAGUAGACAGUUUGAUGUCAAGGAAUUCAGUGGAGGGUUCAAGGCUGGAGAUAAUAAUCUGGGAAUUUAUUCAUAUACAGGCUAUCUAAAGCCAUGGGAUUAGACAAGGUCAUGUGAGAUGUGAGCUUAGAUAAAAGAAGAUAAUGUACAAGGAUUGAAUCCUGAGAUAUGAUAACACUUAGAGUUAGGGAGAAGAGGUGAGUCCCACAUCAAAGACAGGAGAGGAAGUAAACCAGGAGGAUGGCACCAGAGAAACUAAAGGAGAAAAAAGUUUUAAGAAGAUCAGAGCAGCUUUUAAAAGUGAAAAGUUGAAAAGUGUGUAAUUGCGCUAUGGUUAUAAAAGAUGGUAUUAUUAGAGGAAGCUAUGUGAAAGUACUUAGGAGCCCUCUGAACUAUUUUUGCAACUUCCGUGAGUCUAAAAGUAUUUCAAAGCAGACAUUUAAAAAAAUAGUUAAAAGUAGUUUUAAGAAAAGGAGCAAACAAAUGCUGCUGAGAAGUCAGUGAAGAAGAGGACUUGGAGUUGAGUGUUUAAUUUGGCAACAUGGAGCUCAUUCAUUAAUGACCUUGCUAAGAGCAAUUUCAUGGAGUAGUGAGAACAAAAGUUUGAAAUGAGUGUUUUCGAGAGAAUGGGAAAUGAGCAUGUCAAGAUAGUGAGUAUAGACCAUUUUUUGGAAGAUUUUUACUAUGAGAGAGAACAAAGAAAUAUGCAGUAUGUGGAGGUGCACAUAGGGCCAGGGAGCAUUUUAAAACAUAGUUAAAAGUUGAAAUUCCAGUUGCUUAAGUCUGUAUAUUUCACUAACCACUUUUUUUAUUGUAAUCUACUAAAUCAUUUAAUUCUAUAUUAGCUGAUAAUGGAAUUUUCUUUUGCCAUUCAUGAGUUUUCUUCUAUCCCCUCUAAAUUAUAAUUUAAUUAGUUUCUAUAAACUUAAUUCCUUGGGUUUUAUCCUGUUAUCUAUCACUUUUGACCUAGUUUGCAUCAUUCAAAGUACUCGUCUGACGCUAUCUUCCAUGAGCUAUUUUCUGUCCAGGGAAAUAUACAACUAACUCUUCUCAACAAUUUUAGAACUCCAAGAACAUUCUCACCUUUGCAUAGACACGAGAUUCAGAUUUGUGUGCUUUUGCAUGUGUUUAGCAGUUAAUCAACAAAGUUCCUUUAGGAGCCAUUGUGGAAGGAAUAUGCUCUGGGUGUUGUGAGGUUACAGAGGGAUGGAGCAUUUGAAGGGCCGUGUGCAUUUCAUGACUAAAGAAGCCUGAGCACUCUGGCUAGCUGUGGUUAUGGCUCAGCUUAAUGGGCUGACUCAUUUCUGUGGCUGCUUUAUAAUUUUGUAUCUCAAAGGGCCACCGUUCCUAAAUACCUCCUGUCUCCUUCAGCAUCUCCUGCCAACACUUGUAACUAAAAUCAAAUAGUCACGGCAAAGCCAUGCUUUUUAACUGACAGUGCACACACCAAUUAUCUAAGUGUAGAGCAGGAAGAUACACAGAGACUUCCCCCCCUCUCAAUUGCUGGUCAGAAAGAUCCAGCAACAACAAAAGACAAAGCAUCUUGUUUCACAAAGCACAUUAAAUAGAGCAAACAGGCCUCUAACCCAAUGGUUUAAUUACAGUAUAGGGCAUUGUGGCAAACCAUGCUUAGCCUUUCAAACCACUUGUGUGUUUCUCAAUAAAAAGGAAAGCUCACCCAAAACCCUCACAAAGCUUCUCACACCCUGAGAAAGCAAUGGUGUCAGAGAACACUAUUCUGUUGGUUUUCGUCUUCAGUUCCCAAACUAUCUCAACUUAGGAGCGUUAACUCAAACAUGAGGAAUUCAUAUAUGGUUUUUUUCCUCUGUCUUCUAGCCAGUCUGACUGUCUGUCCUAACUUCAUGCAUCCCACUCCCUCCACUUUAUUUAGAGUUUUUUGUGCAGGGAGCUUUAGGUAGAAGUUUUUGAACUAAUCAUCUCAUCAGUUCAAGCCUCAUUAACAUCAUCAGUCCAAUCAAGGCCUCUAUAAGUCAUGAUUUAUAUUUCUUUUUUUUUUUCUUUUUUUU
rnacentral:lncRNA from 10 species